CCACCCCCACCCCCUCUCAGCGAGUUCUCAACAUCAUCAACCCAAGUACAACACCCUGGGCAGGAGUCCCUGGGACUCUUCUGACAAAGUGGGAAGCCCAAGCCACCCUGAUGGUCACACCCUGGCUGGGCGGGUGUGAGCAAGGAGGAUGUCAGCAGGAUGGAUGCAUACACUGUGUUCAGUUUCUCUUGCCGAGGUGGUGGGGACCUGAAGUCCCAAGUGGAGGGAACACAGAAUUCUACAAUCAUCAUCCCUGGCUGGCUGCUGGUGCUUAAGGCAAUCCCGUCCCAGAGGAACUUAUGCCAAGGGAAGUAGAAGAAGGAAUCUUCUCUGACACAUUAUUCCAGUUGUGCUGGAAUAAUGUCUACUGAAUGGACUUGGAGAAAAAAAACCAGUGAAACAGCCUGUUGUGGAUAUGGUAGAAAUUACUCAGAAUUUCUGUGGCUUUAUUAACAGGACUGGGAAAACACAGAAAUUCGUUCCUGUAAAAUAAAAGUCUAAAAUCCUGA